rnacentral:rRNA from 1 species
CAAGACCUUGCGCUUUUGGAGCGGCCGAUGUCUGAUUAGCUAGUUGGUGAGGUAAAGGCUUACCAAGGCGUCGAUCAGUAGCUGGUCUGAGAGGACGACCAGCCACACUGGGACUGAGACACGGCCCAGACUCCUACGGGAGGCAGCAGUGGGGAAUUUUGGACAAUGGGGGAGACCCUGUUCCAGCCAUGCCGCGUGAGUGAAGAAGGCCUUCGGUUGUAAGCUCGCUCAGCCGGAACGAAACGGUCACGGCUAAUACCCGUGACAACUGACGGUACCGGAAGAAGAAGCCCCGGCUAACUACGUGCCAGCAGCCGCGGUAAUACGUAGGGUGCGAGCGUUAAUCGGAAUUACUGGGCGUAAAGCGUGCGCAGGCGGUUUUGUAAGUCAGAUGUGAAUUCCCCGGGCUUAACCUGGGAACU